UUGUCAUACAAAUAUGAAAUUUUAAACAGCCCCCGGGCCAUUAGCAAAUAUGAAAUGGAGUGAACAUCCUUGCUAUACUGGUGGUUGUGAUGGUUUUUGUAUCAAGGAAGCUAAAUACGUUAACCAAACUAUCUGAGCCCUGGCUUCCAUUUUCCCAGCGGAAGCUUCUAGAAACAGACCUUGUCUCAAAACUUGACAAUUGCCGCAAUUUUGCUCAAAUAAAACAACUUCAUGCCCACAUUAUCCGGAAAGGCCUUAACCAGUCAUGUUAUGUUGUCACCAAGUUACUUAGGAUGCUUUCUAACGUGGGUGUUCCUGUAGAUAAGUACGCACACCAUGUGUUUGAUCAAGUGCCGCAGAGAAAUAGUUUUAUUUGGACUGCUCUUAUUAGGGGUUAUUGUGUGCAAGGAUUGAUUAGGGAGGCUGUUGGGUUGUAUGGUUUGAUGAGGAUGGAGGGGAUGGCUCCUGUUUCGUUUACGUUUUCGGCUUUGCUUAAGGCGUGUAGCUUGGGGGAGGAUGUUAAUGUUGGUCUGGGAAUGCAGAUACAUGGACAGAUUGUUGGUGUUGGUGGGUUUGAUUGCGAUUUGGUUGUGUGGAAUACGAUGAUUGAUAUGUAUGUGAAAUGUGGGUUUUUAGGAUGUGGGCGGCGGGUUUUUGAUGAAAUGGUGGUUAGGGAUGUUAUUUCUUGGACGUCGUUGAUUGUUGCGUACGCCAGGACGGGGGAUAUGGAUUCUGCUAAGGAGUUGUUUGAUGAGUUGCCUGUUAAGGAUAUGGUGGCUUGGACUGCGAUGGUUACGGGGUAUGCACAAAAUGCUCGGCCAAGGGAGGCGUUGAAUCUGUUUAAGAGGAUGCAAGAUGGUAACGUUGAGACGGAUGAGGUUACGUUAGUUGGGGUUAUUUCUGCCUGUGCUCAAUUGGGUGCUGCUAAGUAUGCGGGUUGGGUUAGGAAUAUUGCUGAGGAAUCUGGGUACAGACCUACUAGCAAUGUUGUUGUUGGCUCUGCAUUUGUGGACAUGUACUCAAAGUGUGGAAAUGUGGAGGAGGCAUAUAGUAUUUUCAAGAGAAUGAGGGAACGGAAUGUCUAUUCUUUUAGUUCAAUGAUUGUGGGGUUUGCUAUGCACGGACAUGCCACUGAGGCUAUUAAUUUGUUUGAAGAGAUGGUAAAGACAAAGAUAAAACCUAAUAGGGUUACUUUUGUAGGAGUUCUUACUGCGUGUAGUCAUGCUGGCCUAACAGAACAGGGUGAGCAAUAUUUCAAAAUGAUGCAAAGCUGUUAUGGUGUUGUUCCAGAUGCAGAUCAUUAUGCCUGUAUGGUAGAUCUUCGUGGAAGGUCAGGACGCUUGGAAGGAGCCCUUCAGCUUAUUAAAACUAUGCCAGUGAAGCCCCAUGGUGGUGUGUGGGGUGCCUUGCUUGGAGCUUGUCGCAUUCAUGGAGAUCCUGAUAUUGCUCAGAUCGCUGCCAAUUCUCUAUUUGAGCUCGAACCUAAUUCCAUCGGAAACUAUAUUCUUCUGUCUAACAUUUAUGCUUCAGCUGGAAGGUGGGAAGAUGUUGCAAGAGUAAGAAAGGCAGUGAGAAUGAAAGGCUUGAAAAAGAAUCCUGCUUGCAGCUUUGUCGAAGGAAAGGAUGGUGUAAUUCACGAGUUCUUGGCUGGUGAUUUGACCCAUCCAAGGUCUUCUCAGAUAAAGCGAGAGCUGGAAAAUCUUUUACACAAGUUAAAGUUCCAUGGAUACCAGCCAGUAUUGAGUUCUGUUCCCUAUGAUGUGGAUGAUAAAGAGAAAAUGCGCAUUCUGAUGGCUCACAGUGAGAAGCUAGCUUUCUCAUAUGGGUUGCUUACUGUUGCUUCUUGUUCUACUAUAACAAUUGUAAAAAAUCUGCGGAUAUGUGAGGAUUGUCACUUAUUUAUGUGUGGUGCAUCCUUGGUCACUGGCAGGAAGAUUAUUAUCAGGGAUAAUAUGAGGUUUCACCAUUUUCACGACGGAGCAUGCUCCUGCAACAAUUUCUGGUGACUCGGAAGCAGGAAUGGGUUUUUAAAGACAGAUUCAUGCUAGAAGAUGUUUCUCAGGAGUAGUGCUAACUUACUUAUCAAAGGAUGAUCAGCAGGGCUUCCCACUUGGUUGAGAGCUGAAAAUCGACUAAAUGCAGCAUCCGAUUGUAUACAAAAAACUGAAACAAGCAUUAAGAAGAUAAUGCAAAUAAGGAGCCCGGAGAAUGUCAUUUGUUUAUAUAGCUAUAUGUUGAAGGGGGAGACUCAUGCAACAACUUGUUACUACUCUAUAAUCUAUAUACAUGAAAGGCUACAUUG